rnacentral:lncRNA from 1 species
CUAAUCCCUUGGAAGAUACGACAUGUAGAUGUGAGGAGUGGCCAUCCUCACUGAUUUUUGACAAAUCUUAGCAUUAACAAAUCAGAAUUCGUUGCUUUGUGUUCAAGGGAUAUAUAUUGGUAUAAUAAUUAAAUUAUGGUGGAAUUAUGAAACUGGUCGUUGGGCUUUUUAUCCAUUUUGGGAAAUGAAAUCAUUCUCCGGAAACUGGGCCCAACACAGCACACGGCGAGAAAUAAAACGCCGUACAGCCACAAAACUUUCAACGGUAACCAUUUCGAG